rnacentral:lncRNA from 1 species
CCAAUUUCCCCAAAACCCUCCCCUCCAAAUCCCCCACUACCUUAUUCUCCCUCGCAAAAUCAGAUUCCCCCAAAUCCUUCCAACCCAACAGUCCAAUUUUUCAAUCUUUACUCCAAGAACUAGCCGUGAGCAUCCAUUUCCCAUUUCGAAUUUCGAUCCUUUAGGUCAAGUUUUGAACCUUUACUUAUUGUCAUUGCUUAAUGUAGUUGUAAUUUAAAGUUUGAUUUUUUUUCGGUUUUGUUAUUUCCUGUGCAGGACAGCUUUGAUCUUUCGGAUGACUACUUGGCGCAGCUUCCGAAUGAUUUCCGUCUCGAUGUGAGUUCAUUUUUUCAAUCUAUGUUUACCCAAUUGUUGAAUUUGAUAAAGAAUGUGAUUUUUAGAUGGCAGAGUUAUCUCAAUAAGAAACAAAAGAUAGGUUCAUGUAGAAUAUAUUACAUAGCAAAAGUUGGGGAUUAAGCUAUUUGCGUUAUUUGGUUAGGAAAUUGCUCAAUGUUGUGUUGUUUGUGUGAUUGUGUUUAUCCAUUAGGUUUGCAAAUAUCAUAGUUUCAAUAUUUCAUAUGAUUUUGUUGUUGGGCAGUUCUUUCAAAUAAGUUUUAGCUCUGUUAUUCUGUAAUUAUUUUGGAAUUUGAUGGUGUUUAGUAAUGUUGCAGGUGAUUAACAAAAAAUCUCUUUCAAGUGCACAGGUAGGUAAUAGUACUUACUUCUUUGCUUUAAAUCCUUACUAAUUUAUCAUACGUAAUGAUUCAAUUGAGUUGUGUAUUCUGCAAGAGGAUUUGUGCAGACUGAUGGACUUGGUGUUGCUUAGGGAGCAACAUGCUAGGACUUUACUUAUUUGUAGGUGUGAUCCAGUUUAUAACAUGGUGGAAUAAAUAUUGGAUGCCUGAUGAUCAAAAUAAACAGAGGUAUGUAAUUGGUCUUUGUCCUCUUAUCUUUUUACUAUUUUGUUGAUUUUUCAUUGUGUGAAUUUAGAUAUGAAUAUGCGUUUUUAAGUUAUUCAAACAUUACAAAUUAUAAAUGUAGGAUUAAAGCAGGUUUGGUUCUUCAAGACUCCAGCAAAGUGGGGAAAUAACACGCCAUUCUUAGGAAAAUGGUUGGCUGGAAAUUAAAAUAAAUGGAUCUCCCAUAACUCUUUAGAUAUGAUAAGCCUAUUGUAGGAGUAUAAGUCCAGAAAAUUAAUGUAGACAUGAAAAAUUCACUUAUUCAGAUGAUUGUUCGAUGGAAGAAACAUAAACACACACACAAAUGAAGCGAGCAAGAUAUGGGAACUAUAAAUUUAUAACUGCACAAAGAUAAAGAAGUUCCCUUAGAGCAAAUUAAACGAAACAGAAAGAAAGAAAGAAACACUAUGUGAACAUUUGAGAUAACAGUGAUAAUGGUGGCUGGGGUGUUAGAAAUUGCAUAUAACUUUCUGUUUUGAUUGAAAUGGUUCUUCAACCAUUUCAAGAAAAUAUUCUAUACAUGCAUACGUACUCAUUUCUCUACAAUUUUCGAAGAUCUUAUAAAUCUUUUCCUAUAUUUAUGCUUAAUGUUUCUCUCAGUUUACAAUUCGGCAGAAGGUGUAUAUUUCCGUCACCCUUUAUUCAUACUUGCAUGCUGAGAAUUGUGGUACAAGAGUUACUGGGGAGAUGAGCAAUUCAAUAAGUCUACUUCUCAUAUGUUGCUCUUAACGUGUGUCGGUUUUAAUUAUUCAUGAGCAAUUGAAAAUUUAUUUUCACUGAUGGUACACUUAUAUUCAUAGAUCAAUAUAUGUUUGUUUUUAACGUAUCUUAUUAAAUGCAUUUGGAGAAAGUAUUCAAUUUUUUUAGCAAUUAAGAACAUUGCUCCCUCCUCAAUAACUACACUUUCCUUCAUUCAUCUUUACUAAAUGUCAAGAUUUACAAUAACAAUCUUUUUUUUUUUUUCAAUUUUGUUGAGGGGGCUUAAUGUUACCAUUGAUGAAGUCUGUGAAGCACUUUUGGAAGGUAAGUGGUGAUAUUCAAUUAUUGCUUAUUGCAUUUUGUCCAAUUUUAUUGGAAAAUUUCUGAAUUAGGUGUGUGCUUUACCCGAAGAAGUCUCAGAAUAUUGCAAUUCUUGCUUAUUGCAUUUUAUCCAAUUUGGAAGGUAAGUUGUGAUUAUGGAACAAUGUAUUGAAGAGCCAUUUGUUUAGUUCGUUAGUGGAAUUUCGUUGGUUAUGUAUUUCCGAAAUACUUGAUAUAAUUGAUAAUUAAGGUUUAAAUAUCAUAAGGUUCCUUUUGUUUAGGAUAAACAAAUAAGAAGGAAUUGAAGAAGUGGGUUUGGGUUAGUGUAGAGAACUGACACAGAAUUGUACUUGCUAUUGCAGGGAAAUGAAACAGAAUUGUAUCUUCAACAAAAUUAUCGAGUGGUAGCAAUUGGCGGAUUGUCUAAUCUUUUGAAGUAAUUUCAUUUCCAAUUUUAUUUGUCUUCCUGUAAUUUCAAGUCAGAUUACCGGGGAAUGCCUAACUUUUUUGGCUGUCAAUUUUUGUUUUUAGUCCAUUUUCUUUGCUACUGCUGUGUUAGGAUUU